rnacentral:lncRNA from 1 species
GCACUUCUACUCCAGUUUAUUGUACUGAACUUCAGCCAAGCAAGGCCCCUAAACCAGGCCAGAUACAGAGGCCAACACCAAGGCCGUCUCUGCCAUGGCGGGUAUAAAAUCGAAACAGUAAAAAUUCAUUCAAGCCUGGGGUGGUGGCACACACCUGUAAUCUCAGAGCUCUGGAGGCAGAGGCAGGAGGAUCGCCUUGAGUUCAAGGCCAGCCUGGGCUACAUAGCGAGACGCUGUCUCAGAAAACAAAAAACAAACAAAAAAACAGGGCAAAAAGAUAAGAUAUUAGAUUUAAGAGGGGCUUUAAUGCAGGGCAGACAGGGAAGGGGUUUGGAGUGGAGACUUCAGGAAGGAAGACAGGCAGUCAGUGAGGUUUGUGACACACCCAAAGUUCCAAAUGGUGAUGAAAGAACAAUGGAUUUUGUGCAAGAAGUGGCUUCGUCCAAUUGUCCAAUUUUCAUCUUGUUUGUUGGUUUGUUUGUUUGAGACAGGGUCUCUCCAGGUAUCUCAGGCUGUCCUCGAACUCAUGGCGAUCCUCCUGCCUCAGCCUCUGGAAUGCUGGGAUUACAGCGCAGGGCAGACCCGGGUGGAACACCGGACGAGGGACUGUAUCCUGGGGACAGAGCCACGGGAGAGGCCGAAGAGAAGACCCGAGCUUCCUGGUUGCCACGGAUUGAGCAUCUUUCCUCUGCCAUUUCCUCCUACCACGCCACGCCUGCCUUAGAAACAGCCACCUAUGGACUGAAUCCAUAAAAUGUGAACCAGAACAGACCUCUCCUUCUUGUUUGUUUUUGGUACCGGAGAUCGAACUCAGGACGUCACGCUUAGGAGGCAGGUGGUGGAAGCACUGAGCUAAAUCCCCAGCCC